CAGGGCAAUGCAUUUGGUGGAGGAUGACACCGGUUGAUCAAGAAGUGACGUUUGCUUGAGACCGCGUACGCAAGAUUGAAUCUUUAGUCUCUGUAUUAGCUCACCGAUAAAAUUCAUGGUCAGUGAAACUACUUUUCAAAUCUUAUAAAUUAAAUAAAAAUCAAUAUAAAAAUUAAUUUACAAUAUCAUUUAAUUUUAUACCCAAAAACAUUCAUUCCGUACUCUUCUUUCUCUUGCUAUACACAUCCAAUGAAAAGGAGAUUAUGAAUUAUUUCCAUAUGAACAGACAAGUUCUUAUCCCGAUUACACAUGACCUUUUGAUAAAAAAAAAUUAUAAUAAUAAAAUAAAAAUGGUUUCCCGAUCAAGAGACAAGACCACCAACCCAAAAAUCACCACCACACAUCAUGAACGCACUAUUCCUCUGCAGCCGGGUGCACCUCAGCUCCACCAUCCACAUAAUCAUCACCGUUCAUUUGAUCAAGAACAAGAACUAAUCCCAUCGCAAAAGCCCCAUCAACGCCAGGCUUUAGGCAGAGGGAGAAAACGUCCUUGCCAAGCACCACGUUCGUAGAGACAUCCACUUUGCGUCUGAUCUCAGCCACUGAUUCCUUCUGUGCAUUGAAGAUUGUACAACAUCUAUUGGCGAAGGACCCUUCUAUCUGGUACUCUUCCCCUGGAUUCCCAUACACUUCCACGGCCACGCUGCACCGUCGGAUUAUUGAUGAUCUCCUCACGCUGAAGAUCGGUUUCUGACGCUCUCUUCUUUCCCCUAGAUAGCCUUCCCACCGUUGAUGUAGACUCGGCCUCUUUUUUCUCACCGUGAGAAGACAGCGGCCGUGGGCGUCCAUGAGAACGACUUCACCGGUGUCGCGGGUAUCAGGGCCGUAGGAAUCAACUCGGAAGACUAACUGACCACUGCAAUCGUAGACGGUGAAGCCAUCAUUAGCAAAGAACAGAGAGGUUUUAAGCACUGUUAGAUGCUUCUCCUCUUCGUAUAUAAAUCCACUAUCUACAACCAAUCCUCCCUUCAUUCUUUCUUCUGUUCUUCGAUUUGGGCUCCUGAAACGAAACGAUUCCUAAAGUCCGUGUUUGUGGUGUUCCCCAAGGCAGAAAAAUGAACGUUUGAAGGGAUGAUAGCGUUGAAGCGAAUUUAUAUAGUGCUCUAAGAGCGAGUGAGAGAGAAAGCACGCGUAUAGAGCUAGAGGGUUAAUGCUUAUGUGUGCGGUUGAUAGUAAAAUAUCUCUGGUCACUGAUUCUGUCUAAAUCCAUGUUUCGGGUUCAAUGGGAAACUUAUAUCGGGAAUCUUGUAUAGUGCCUCCAAUACGUGUAACUCGGUUUCAUUUUGUAGGGUUAGCGAGUUGACUCGGUUGUAACUCGGGCGGCUCGGCGGAGCUUAUGGAAUAUCUGAUCCGAUCUACUGAUUUGAAUAUUGUGGAAUAAUGUUAUUGGAAAUGUGGAAUUGGGAAAAGCAAUU
rnacentral:misc_RNA from 1 species